AAAACAUGAAUAUUAAAUUUGCAUAAACUUACCCAUAAUUGGGUAGUAAUCAAAGUGGAGAAUUUACAAUUUAUUUCUGUCACAACAUUACAGAAAGUUACAAGAACUAAAAAAAAUAUUGUACCCUUUCAAAGGGGAGUAAUCCAGAUUAUGUCUAAUAGCAUAAUGAUGGCAACAUCUAUAGCUAUUGGAUAUCAUAUGCGGUAGCAUGAAUAGUUGGAGCUCAGGGAAAGCCAAGCAUGAUCAACACCCACGAAGAAAUUCCCAUUGCCUUCGUGUCAUAUGAGCAAAUACAAUUUAGUUUUCAGAGCUUAUUGCAUCUACUUCUGUUGCAAAUUAAGGCCCCAAUGAGUAACAUGUCACUGUAUGACCAAUCAUCAAGCAUUGAUGCCUUGCAUAGCCAUGAACUGGCAUUCAUGCCAUCCUCAUCAAAAUAGCAUGAAUAAAUCAACACAUUGAGAUUAAGUAUAUAAAUUGACAAAAUAUGCCACCUUUAUAAACAAUAUCCAAGUGCCUUGUUGUAAUUGAUCCCAGAUAACCCAGCCUACAUGGAUAAUAUAUAUUUGUAAGUGAUCACGGAGCUUUGGCAGCCAAGAUAUAUUUUAGUGCCCUGCAAUCAGCUCCUUUCUCCCUCUCUGCAAAAAGAGUACAUGAGAAAUUUUGUAAUAUAUGUUCGCUAAACAAAAUGCAUUAUAAAAUAAGACAAUCUACAGUAAUAAUAUGAGACUAUACGUCUAUACAAACCUACAGUUUCAGAUUUCCUAGUUCGAAGCCAUUUUUUCACUUAUUAUGAAGUUGACCCAUACAUAUUGCACAGAUGUCAUUCUUUCUUCAAUCAAUCUCAUAAAAAAAAUACAAAUACAAAGUAGAGAUUGACCAUCAACUUAUUACUCUAAUCUGCUGAGAAAAAUAAAAAAUGAGGCAUCACUCAGAAGAAAACUGAUGUGUUAUUUAUUUCGUAUAGACCACCAGUUUAUGUUUAGGUUGAAGUUUUCCAACUGAGGAAAGUAGACAAUGAAAUUGAUGAGCAAUUAAAUAGUACAAUCAAACCUUCUCUUCAACACUACUCUAUUUCUAGUCAAUAGGCUUCGACAUGGGUGAACUUGACUGGACGAUGGUAAGAGUAGUAGCAGGAAGCUAUAAACCAUAUCAAGAUCAAUCAUACAGUCCAAAAUGGUCAUCAUCAGAGUGCAAAAAAUCAGGAACCUUAAAACAAUGGAGCUCAAAUUUGAGAAGGAUCUUUAGUUGUCGCCUAGCCGCUACCGCUGAAAGAGGUGCAGGACCAGCCAAACCCACAUAUGGACUGGGAUGGCACCCGCAGGGUAUGGGUACGGGUGGAGCUACCCCAUACCCUUACCCGUCCGUCCUGAGUUUACCCAUCACCCAUACCCAUACCCGUCAAGGGUACAAUUUUUUCCCAUACUCGUCACCCGACAGGGUAUAUGGGUAUCCGCGGGUAAAAAUACCCGUGUUUACAACACAUCAAUUGAGUAGAAAAUAGUUGUAAAAAGCAACAUAUAAUCAUAAAUUAUUAAUAGCAACACAUUUUAAACAACAAUGUACAACAACAUAUUGUAACAACAACAUAUUCUCAUAAACAAAAAUACUUGCCUAUAAAGUGACAUAUAAAAAUGUUAAACAACAACACAUAAUCAUAGAUAACAACACAUGUGCAUACACUUUAAGUUCAUGAAAUCAUGAUAAAUUAUAGUGAUAAUUUGAAUACACAUUAGAUUUUACCUAGCGUGAUUAGGAGGGGAAUUGAAUACAUUGGGAUAUUAACGGAAAUCCACCUGUCAACAUUUUAGAUGGGUACAUGGGUACGCGGGCAUGGGUUAUACGAUCCCAUACCCGUACCCUCUCUACCCGAUGGGUAUGAUAUUUUCCCAUUUAAGUACCCAUGGGUAAUUUUUUGUCCCAUACCCUUACCUUAAUAUGGUUUUUACUCACAGGGUACGCGCGUAAUGGGUACCCAUUGCCAUCCCUAUAUGGACAUGACGGUCAACGGGCUAACCGCUCAGACCCACCGUUACUUCAACAGAACCAUCUCAGUUCUCAAGCUCAUCGUCUCCAACAGUCGAAUGCCAAGAUGUCUGACUACCUAUUUGGGAUAGGAGUUACAGGGAGUGCCUAAUUUUUAUGUAUCUGUAUUAAUUUACUUUUCUUCAGGUUCUAUCUCUCAACUGAGUAAUCUAAUGCAGAAUGUUGAUUAGUGUGUUAUCUCUGCUCAUAGGAAAUUCAUGUCUAAUCCAUCUUCCAUGUUUUCAUGUUAUAUUCAGAUGAAUCAGAUCUUUACAUAAUGCUACUUUUUGGGAUACUGCAUCCGAGGAUUCUUUUGAAGAUGCACGGCACACGGAAUACCUUUUGCCUUGAUAUGCGGCUCAAGAACUGUUGAUAGUGCUCUAAUCAGCAACACCUCACUACCGCCCCGUGGAAACAAUGCCUCUACUCUACCUAGAACGACUCUUCCUAAUUAAAAUUCUCUGACAGAAAUAUUCACUGGAGGGACGGGGAUCAAUAUAACCCAUCUUGAUCCAGAUCCAAAAGAAUAUCAUUCUUGAUUUGGGACGAAGGCAGGGUUCUUGGAACCAGGAAAUCAAGAGGCAGACUAACUACAUGUGUUGAAUUAGCUGAUGAGAAGAUGAGACAAAGGGAGUAGUACCUGUUGGGCGGAAGCAUGACGGCCAUCUGGACGAUUGCUCGCCUAGGGAUGCCGGUUCCACCAGCAGCACUGCCAAGUCAUGGUGGGAUCUGCCACUCAAGUUGAAGGUCGUGGUAGGGGGACACGCUCGUUGCCAUGGCACUGGUCCGG
rnacentral:lncRNA from 1 species